CAGUCGCCGCGGGAAUACGGAGGGUGCAAGCGUUAAUCGGAAUUACUGGGCGUAAAGCGCACGUAGGCGGAUAUUUAAGUCAGGGUGAAAUCCCAGAGCUCAACUCUGGAACUGCCUUUGAUACUGGGUAUCUUGAGUAUGGAAGAGGUGAGUGGAAUUCCGAGUGUAGAGGUGAAAUUCGUAGAUAUUCGGAGGAACACCAGUGGCGAAGGCGGCUCACUGGUCCAUUACUGACGCUGAGGUGCGAAAGCGUGGGGAGCAAACAGGAUUAGAUACCCCGGUAGUCCCUGUCUCUUAUACC
rnacentral:rRNA from 1 species